rnacentral:rRNA from 1 species
GGGUUAGUAGGUUGGUCAUGCCUCUGGUAUGUACUGGUCUUACUGAUUCCUCCUUCCUGAUGAGCCGUAAUGCCAUUAAUCUGGUGUUGCGGGGAAUUUGGACUGUUACUUUGAAAAAAUUAGAAUGUUCAAAGCAGGCUAUUGCCUGAAUACAUUAGCAUGGAAUAAUAGAAUAGGACGUGUGGUUCUAUUUUGUUGGUUUCUAGAAUCGCCGUA